AUUGAACGCUGGCGGCGUGCCUUACACAUGCAAGUCGAACGGCAGCACGGGAGCUUGCUCCUGGUGGCGAGUGGCGAACGGGUGAGUAAUACAUCGGAACGUACCCUGAAGUGGGGGAUAACGUAGCGAAAGUUACGCUAAUACCGCAUAUUCUGUGAGCAGGAAAGAGGGGGAUCGCAAGACCUCUUGCUUUAGGAGCGGCCGAUGUCGGAUUAGCUAGUUGGUGAGGUAAAGGCUCACCAAGGCGACGAUCCGUAGCGGGUCUGAGAGGAUGAUCCGCCACACUGGGACUGAGACACGGCCCAGACUCCUACGGGAGGCAGCAGUGGGGAAUUUUGGACAAUGGGCGCAAGCCUGAUCCAGCCAUGCCGCGUGAGUGAAGAAGGCCU
rnacentral:rRNA from 1 species